CCGGAGAAUGUUAUCACGGGAGACACACGGCGGGUGCUAACGUCCGUCGUGAAGAGGGAAACAACCCAGACCGCCAGCUAAGGUCCCAAAGUCAUGGUUAAGUGGGAAACGAUGUGGGAAGGCCCAGACAGCCAGGAUGUUGGCUUAGAAGCAGCCAUCAUUUAAAGAAAGCGUAAUAGCUCACUGGUCGAGUCGGCCUGCGCGGAAGAUGUAACGGGGCUAAACCAUGCACCGAAGCUGCGGCAGCGACACUCAGGUGUUGUUGGGUAGGGGAGCGUUCUGUAAGYCUGYGAAGGUGKSYYGUGAGGSWUGCUGGAGGUAUCAGAAGUGCGAAUGCUGACAUAAGUAACGAUAAAGCGGGUGAAAAGCCCGCUCGCCGGAAGACCAAGGGUUCCUGUCCAACGUUAAUCGGGGCAGGGUGAGUCGACCCCUAAGGCGAGGCCGAAAGGCGUAGUCGAUGGGAAACGGGUUAAUAUUCCCGUACUUGGUGUUACUGCGAAGGGGGGACGGAGAAGGCUAUGUUGGCCGGGCGACGG
rnacentral:rRNA from 1 species